rnacentral:lncRNA from 1 species
AGUUUUAUUAAAGAAGUGAUUUAUUUCAAUCCUCAGGAUCUGAUUCUCCCACUAUGCCUAACAUAUAGAACCACCACCAGGACAAGGAAGAGCAAUUAACCCAGUGUGGUAUGAAUAUUGGCCACUGGUGGGAAGCUUUGCUUUCAUUUUGAUCAGAAGCAGCUGUUCCAGGCAGAUCCUUGGAGUUCA